rnacentral:rRNA from 1 species
GACGAACGCUGGCGGCGUGCCUAAUACAUGCGAGUCGAGCGAAGUUUUUCUGGUGCUUGCACUAGAAAAACUUAGCGGCGAACGGGUGAGUAACACGUAAAGAACCUGCCUCAUAGACUGGGACAACUAUUGGAAACGAUAGCUAAUACCGGAUAACAGUAUUUCUCGCAUGAGAGAUAUUUAAAAGUUGGUUAUGCUAACACUAUGAGAUGGCUUUGCGGUACAUUAGCUAGUUGGUGGGGUAAAGGCCCACCAAGGCGACGAUGCAUAGCCGACCUGAGAGGGUGAUCGGCCACACUGGGACUGAGACACGGCCCAGACUCCUACGGGAGGCAGCAGUAGGGAAUCUUCCGCAAUGGGCGAAAGCCUGACGGAGCAACGCCGCGUGAGUGAAGAAGGAUUUCGGUUCGUAAAGCUCUGUUGUUAGGGAAGAAUGGAUAUGUAGUAACUAUACAUGUAAGAGACGGUACCUAACCAGAAAGCCACGGCUAACUACGUG